rnacentral:rRNA from 1 species
CCUACGGGAGGCAACAGUGGGGAAUAUUGGGCAAUGGACGCAAGUCUGACCCAGCAACGCCGCGUGAAGGAAGAAGGCUUUCGGGUUGUAAACUUCUUUUAAGGGGGAAGAGCAGAAGACGGUACCCCUUGAAUAAGCCACGGCUAACUACGUGCCAGCAGCCGCGGUCAUACGUAGGUGGCAAGCGUUGUCCGGAUUUACUGGGUGUAAAGGGCGUGCAGCCGGAGAGACAAGUCAGAUGUGAAAUCCACGGGCUCAACCCGUGAACUGCAUUUGAAACUGUUUCCCUUGAGUGUCGGAGAGGUAAUCGGAAUUCCUUGUGUAGCGGUGAAAUGCGUAGAUAUAAGGAAGAACACCAGUGGCGAAGGCGGAUUACUGGACGAUAACUGACGGUGAUGCUCGAAAGUGUGGGUAUCAAACAGGAUUAGAUACCCCAGUAGUC